GACAGAGGGUGCAAACGUUGUUCGGAAUUACUGGGCGUAAAGCGCGUGUAGGCGGCUCGGAAAGUCGGAUGUGAAAGCCCAGGGCUCAACCCUGGAAGUGCACUCGAAACUCCCGAGCUGGAGUCCCGGAGAGGAAGGCGGAGUUCUCGGUGUAGAGGUGAAAUUCGUAGAUAUCGAGAGGAACACCUGUGGCGAAGGCGGCCUUCUGGACGGUGACUGACGCUGAGACGCGAAAGCGUGGGGAGCAAACAGG
rnacentral:rRNA from 1 species